rnacentral:rRNA from 1 species
CGGGGUGAGUAACGCGUGGAUAACCUGCCUCACACAGGGGAUAACAGUUAGAAAUGACUGCUAAUACCGCAUAAGCGCACAGUACCGCAUGGUACAGUGUGAAAAACUCCGGUGGUGUGAGAUGGAUCCGCGUCUGAUUAGGUAGUUGGUGGGGUAACGGCCCACCAAGCCGACGAUCAGUAGCCGACCUGAGAGGGUGACCGGCCACAUUGGGACUGAGACACGGCCCAA